CAGCAGCCACGGGAAUACGGAGGGUGCAAGCGUUAUCCGGAUUUAUUGGGUUUAAAGGGUCCGUAGGCGGAUCUGUAAGUCAGUGGUGAAAUCUCACAGCUUAACUGUGAAACUGCCAUUGAUACUGCAGGUCUUGAGUAAAUUUGAAGUGGCUGGAAUAAGUAGUGUAGCGGUGAAAUGCAUAGAUAUUACUUAGAAAACCAAUUGCGAAGGCAGGUCACUAAGAUUUAACUGACGCUGAUGGACGAAAGCGUGGGGAGCGAACAGGAUUAGAUACCCCAGUAGUCCCUGUCUCUUAUAC
rnacentral:rRNA from 1 species